AGUGGCGGACGGGUGAGUAACGCGUAGGAAUCUACCUGAUAGUGGGGGAUAGCCCGAAGAAAUUCGGAUUAAUACCGCAUAAUCUAUUCGUAGUAAAGUGGGGGACUUUCGAGCCUCACGCUAUCAGAUGAGCCUGCGUAAGAUUAGCUAGUUGGUAGGGUAAAAGCCUACCAAGGCUACGAUCUUUAGCUGGUCUGAGAGGAUGAUCAGCCACAUCGGGACUGAGACACGGCCCGAACUCCUACGGGAGGCAGCAGUGGGGAAUAUUGGACAAUGGGGGCAACCCUGAUCCAGCAAUACCGCGUGUGUGAAGAAGGCCUGAGGGUUGUAAAGCACUUUCAAUUGUGAAGAAAAGCUAGUGGUUAAUAGCCAUUAGCCUUGACGUUAACUUUAGAAGAAGCACCGGCUAACUCCGUGCCAGCAGCCGCGGUAAUACGGAGGGUGCAAGCGUUAAUCGGAAUUACUGGGCGUAAAGCGUGCGUAGGCGGUUUAUUAAGUCAGAUGUGAAAGCCCCGGGCUUAACCUGGGAACUGCAUUUGAAACUGGUCAACUAGAGUAUGGUAGAGGAAAGUGGAAUUUCUGGUGUAGCGGGUGAAUGCGUAGAUAUCAGAUGACAUCAAUGGCGAGGCAACUUUCUGGAACAUACUGACGCUGAGGUACGAAGCGUGGUAGCCAACCAGAUAGAUACCCUGGUAGCCCACG
rnacentral:rRNA from 1 species